rnacentral:sRNA from 2 species
CCACACCAAAUAUAUGGUAACAGAAGUGCUAGGCACCCACGACUAUCAACUGAACACCCCACCUGGCAUUCAUGAUGUCUUUCAUACAAACCUGCUCCGACCCGCGGCUGAGGACCUGUUCCCCUCACAGAAGACCUCCAACUGGCAACCACCUGCCAUUGUAGAAGAAGACAAUGAACUUGAAUGGGAAAUCAAAGCAAUCCUCAACAACAGAACCAGCCGUCGCUGCUGCAAAUAUCUUGUCAAAUGGGUAGGAUACAAUCAUCCAACCUGGGAACCCACACCUGCCAUGAAGGACACUGCUGCACUCAACACCUACAAAUCCUCACUCGCCCCAGUAGGGGGGG